rnacentral:hammerhead_ribozyme from 1 species
GUACUACUGAAGAGUCCCACUAGAGGACGAAACGGUCGUCUAGUGC